UACUCUAGGAUACUGCGCACAUAUGCAC
rnacentral:piRNA from 1 species